CAGCAGCCACGGUAAUACGAAGGGUGCAAGCGUUAAUCGGAAUUACUGGGCGUAAAGCGUGCGUAGGCGGUGAGUUAAGUCUGCUGUGAAAUCCCCGGGCUCAACCUGGGAAUGGCAGUGGAUACUGGCUCGCUAGAGUGUGUCAGAGGAUGGUGGAAUUCCCGGUGUAGCGGUGAAAUGCGUAGAGAUCGGGAGGAACAUCAGUGGCGAAGGUGGCCAUCUGGGACAACACUGACGCUGAGGCACGAAAGCGUGGGGAGCGAACAGGAUUAGAUACCCGUGUAGUCCCUGUCUCUUAUAA
rnacentral:rRNA from 1 species